UUUUUUUAAAAAAAGGGAGAGGAAUAGAAUGAAGUGGAAUAAAAAGGAGCAGAAUAAAAUCAAGUGGAAGAGAAUGGAACAAAAUGGAGCAGGCCAAAUUAGAAUAGAACGGGACGGAGUCGAACGGAGCAGAGUGGAAUCGGACAGAAUGGAGCGGAGAGGAAUGGAGCAGAACGGAACAGGAUGGAGCAGAACGGAGUGGGUAGAAUAGAGCGAAGCGGAAUAGAACGGAGCGGAACGGAAAAGAAUGGAGCGGAAUAGAACGGAACCGAUAGAAUGGAGCGGAGUAGAACGGAACAGAACAGGAAAAGAAUGGAGCGGAACAGAACGGAACCGGUAGAAUGGAGCGGAAUAGAACGGAACCGAAUGGAGUGGAAUAGAACGGAACCGGUAGAACGGAGCAGAGUAGAACGGAACCGGUAGAACGGAGCGGAAUAGAACGGAACCGGUAGAACGGAGCGGAAUAGAACGGAACCGGUAGAACGGAGCGGAAUAGAACGGAACCGGUAGAAUGGAGCGGCAUAGAUCGGAACCGGUAGAACGGAGCGGAGUAGAACGGAACAGAAAAGAAUGGAGUGGAACGGAACAGGGCGGAAUAGAGUGGAGCAGAAUAGAACGGAACGGAGUGGAAUAGAGUGGAGCAGAAUAGAACGGAACGGAGUGGAAUAGAGUGGAGCAGAAUAGAACGGAACGGAGUGGAAUAGAGUGGUAUUUAGUGAGUAUUAGUAUUUAAUGGCUGGUAUUUGGGUUUGUCUCUGUGACUGUACAGACGUGCGCAGACUGUAAUGCUGCUGCUGCUGCUCCACAUUGCUGAAUAAAUGAGAUCCAGAGUACUGCGCUCACCUGCUGGAACGUCUCCACAGUGCUACAACAGCUUCUGUACAGAACGUUUCAAACACGUAGCGUCGACCUCAGAUCCAGCUCAUACUGAUUUCCUGCUUCUGCGUGCUCUCCUCCUCCUCCUCCUCCUCCUCCUUCUCCUCCUUCUACUUCUCCUCCUCCUUCUCCUCCUUCUCCUCCUUCUCCUCCUUCUCCACACUCACUCCCUUACUGCAGGAGUUCUCGAGUAGCCGGCUCUAAUUCAGAAUA
ensembl:lncRNA